GAUGAACGCUGGCGGCGUGCCUAAUACAUGCAAGUCGAGCGAACGGACGAGGAGCUUGCUUCUCUGAUGUUAGCGGCGGACGGGUGAGUAACACGUGGAUAACCUACCUAUAAGACUGGGAUAACUUCGGGAAACCGGAGCUAAUACCGGAUAAUAUUUUGAACCGCAUGGUUCAAAAGUGAAAGACGGUCUUGCUGUCACUUAUAGAUGGAUCCGCGCUGCAUUAGCUAGUUGGUAAGGUAACGGCUUACCAAGGCAAAGAUGCAUAGCCGACCUGAGAGGGUGAUCGGCCACACUGGAACUGAGACACGGUCCAGACUCCUACGGGAGGCAGCAGUAGGGAAUCUUCCGCAAUGGGCGAAAGCCUGACGGAGCAACGCCGCGUGAGUGAUGAAGGUCUUCGGAUCGUAAAACUCUGUUAUUAGGGAAGAACAUAUGUGUAAGUAACUGUGCACAUCUUGACGGUACCUAAUCAGAAAGCCACGGCUAACUACGUGCCAGCAGCCGCGGUAAUACGUAGGUGGCAAGCGUUAUCCGGAAUUAUUGGGCGUAAAGCGCGCGUAGGCGGUUUUUUAAGUCUGAUGUGAAAGCCCACGGCUCAACCGUGGAGGGUCAUUGGAAACUGGAAAACUUGAGUGCAGAAGAGGAAAGUGGAAUUCCAUGUGUAGCGGUGAAAUGCGCAGAGAUAUGGAGGAACACCAGUGGCGAAGGCGACUUUCUGGUCUGUAACUGACGCUGAUGUGCGAAAGCGUGGGGAUCAAACAGGAUUAGAUACCCUGGUAGUCCACGCCGUAAACGAUGAGUGCUAAGUGUUAGGGGGUUUCCGCCCCUUAGUGCUGCAGCUAACGCAUUAAGCACUCCGCCUGGGGAGUACGACCGCAAGGUUGAAACUCAAAGGAAUUGACGGGGACCCGCACAAGCGGUGGAGCAUGUGGUUUAAUUCGAAGCAACGCGAAGAACCUUACCAAAUCUUGACAUCCUUUGACAACUCUAGAGAUAGAGCCUUCCCCUUCGGGGGACAAAGUGACAGGUGGUGCAUGGUUGUCGUCAGCUCGUGUCGUGAGAUGUUGGGUUAAGUCCCGCAACGAGCGCAACCCUUAAGCUUAGUUGCCAUCAUUAAGUUGGGCACUCUAAGUUGACUGCCGGUGACAAACCGGAGGAAGGUGGGGAUGACGUCAAAUCAUCAUGCCCCUUAUGAUUUGGGCUACACACGUGCUACAAUGGACAAUACAAAGGGCAGCGAAACCGCGAGGUCAAGCAAAUCCCAUAAAGUUGUUCUCAGUUCGGAUUGUAGUCUGCAACUCGACUGCAUGAAGCUGGAAUCGCUAGUAAUCGUAGAUCAGCAUGCUACGGUGAAUACGUUCCCGGGUCU
rnacentral:rRNA from 1 species